rnacentral:ribozyme from 21 species
UUUCGUCUUUUUUUUUUUUUUUCUUUUUUUUCUUUUUUUCU